UGGGGAAUUUUGGACAAUGGGGGAAACCCUGAUCCAGCCAUCCCGCGUGUGCGAUGAAGGCCUUCGGGUUGUAAAGCACUUUUGGCAGGAAAGAAACGUCAUGGGUUAAUACCCCGUGAAACUGACGGUACCUGCAGAAUAAGCACCGGCUAACUACGUGCCAGCAGCCGCGGUAAUACGUAGGGUGCAAGCGUUAAUCGGAAUUACUGGGCGUAAAGCGUGCGCAGGCGGUUCGGAAAGAAAGAUGUGAAAUCCCAGAGCUCAACUUUGGAACUGCAUUUUUAACUACCGGGCUAGAGUGUGUCAGAGGGAGGUGGAAUUCCGCGUGUAGCAGUGAAAUGCGUAGAUAUGCGGCGGACCACCGAUGGCGAAGGCAGCCUCCUGGGAUAACACUGACGCUCAUGCACGAAAGCGUGGGGAGCAAACAGG
rnacentral:rRNA from 1 species